GGGGAUGGAUUAGUGGCGAACGGGUGAGGAACACGUGAGAAACCUGCCUUUCAUUCUGGGAUAACACCGGGAAACCGGGGCUAAUACCGGAUACGAGCCUUGAUCGCAUGAUCGGGGCUGGAAAGUUUUUCGGUUGAAGAUGACCUCGCGGCCUAUCGGCUUGUUGGUGAGGUAAUGGCUCACCAAGGCGACGACGGGUAGCCGGCCUGAGAGGGCGACCGGCCACACUGGGACUGAGACACGGCCCAGACUCC
rnacentral:rRNA from 1 species